GUCCGCAUAGCACAGUGGUAGUGCGCCAGACUACGAAUUACGUAAUCAAUAAGUUGAUUUCGAAGUCAUCUGGAGGUCGUGGUUUCGAUCACCACUGUGGAUU